UGGAGCCUCGGUAGCCUCUGUGCCUUGU
rnacentral:piRNA from 1 species